GAUGAACGCUGGCGGCGUGCCUAACACAUGCAAGUCGAACGGAGUCCAGCCUUUAAGACCUUCGGGUCAAAGAGGGGAAGACUGAGUGGCGGACGGGUGAGUAACACGUGGGCAACCUGGCUCAUAGAGGGGGAUAACAGAGAGAAAUUUCUGCUAAUACCGCAUAAGCACACACUGCCGCAUGGCAGAGGGUGAAAAGAGAAUCGCUAUGAGAUGGACCCGCGUCUGAUUAGCCAGUUGGCAAGGUAAGAGCCUACCAAAGCGACGAUCAGUAGCCGAGCUGAGAGGAUGAACGGCCACAUUGGGACUGAGACACGGCCCAAACUCCUACGGGAGGCAGCAGUGGGGGAUAUUGCACAAUGGGGGGAACCCUGAUGCAGCGACGCCGCGUGAGUGAAGAAGUAUUUCAGUAUGUAAAGCUCUAUCAGCAGGGAAGAUAAUGACAGUACCUGAAUAAGAAGCCCCGGCUAACUACGUG
rnacentral:rRNA from 1 species